rnacentral:rRNA from 1 species
AACGAACGCUGGCGGCAUGCCUAACACAUGCAAGUCGAACGAGACCUUCGGGUCUAGUGGCGCGCGGGUGCGUAACGCGUGGGAACCUGCCCUUAGGUUUGGAAUAACUCCCCGAAAGGGGUGCUAAUACCGGAUAAUGUCUUCGGACCAAAGAUUUAUCGCCUUUGGAUGUGCCCGCGUUGGAUUAGCUAGUUGGUAGGGUAAAAGCCUACCAAGGCGACGAUCCAUAGCUGGUCUGAGAGGAUGAUCAGCCACGCUGGGACUGAGACACGGCCCGGACUCCUACGGGAGGCAGCAGUGGGGAAUAGUGGACAACGGGCGAAAGCCUGAUCCAGCAAUGCCGCGUGAGUGAUGAAGGCCUUAGGGUUGUAUAGCUCGUUUACCCGGGAUGAUAAUGACAGUACCGGGAGAAUAAGCUCCGGCUAACUCCGUG